GCGCUUGUAGCUCAGUUGGAUAGAGCACGGGCCUCCGACGCCCGGUGCCGUUGGUUCGAAUCCAAUCAGGCGCACCA
rnacentral:tRNA from 1 species